GACGAACGCUGGCGGCGCGCUUAACACAUGCAAGUCGAACGGAAAGGCCUGCUUUCCCUUGUGGAUUGCGGGUACUCGAGUGGCGAACGGGUGAGUAACACGUGAGUGAUCUGCCCCCAACUUGGGUAUAAGCCUGGGAAACUGGGUCUAAUUCCCGAUAGGACUGCAGGGUGGUGCCUGUGGUGGAAAACGAUUUUCUAGUGGUUGGGGAUGAGCUCGCGGCCUAUCAGCUUGUUGGUGGGGUAAUGGCCUACCAAGGCGGCGACGGGUAGCUGGCCUGAGAGGGUGGACGGCCACAUUGGGACUGAGAUACGGCCCAGACUCCUACGGGAGGCAGCAGUGGGGAAUAUUGCACAAUGGGCGGAAGCCUGAUGCAGCGACGCCGCGUGGGGGAUGACGGCCUUCGGGUUGUAAACUCCUUUCGACCGCGAGGAAGCCACCUGGUUGGAAGGGUGGUGACGGUAGUGGUAGAAGAAGCACCGGCUAACUACGUG
rnacentral:rRNA from 1 species